rnacentral:rRNA from 1 species
GAUGAAUGCUGGCGGCGUGCCUAAUACAUGCAAGUCGAGCGGUAAGGCCCUUCGGGGUACACGAGCGGCGGACGGCUGAGUAACGCGUGGGAACAUGCCCCAAAGUGAGGGAUAACGCACCGAAAGGUGUGCUAAUACCGCAUAUGGUCUUCGGAUUAAAGGAUUUAUCCGCUUUGGGAGUGGCCCGCGUACGAUUAGAUUGUUGGUGAGGUAACGGCUCACCAAGUCGACGAUCGUUAACUGGUCUGAGAGGAUGAUCAGUCAGACUGGAACUGAGACACGGUCCAGACUCCUACGGGAGCAGCAGUAAGGAAUCUUCCACAAUGGGCGAAAGCCUGAUGGAGCAACGCCGCGUGCAGGAUGAAGGCCCUCGGGUCGUAAACUGC